CAGUGACAACAUCUAGGUGUGACAUCAUCUCUAGCUCUGUUCUUUCCUCACUCCCAAACAGAACCUUCUUUAAAAUUGUACUGAGAAUGUACAAUAGUCCAGACUCUGAGGUAAUUAGGCACACAGAAAUGACGCCAUAGGCUCUUACUGAGCAUUCACCACGAGCAGACCUUGUGCUGGGUUCAGAAGAAAGGAGACACGAUGUUGGCAGUCUGCUGUGGCAAGAGCGACGGCCAGAGCGUGAAUACCGUGGAGGGUGUAAAAUACCAACAGGAUCCCGAGUUUCCCUGAUUGUACCACUGCAGUGCCAUUGCCUCUCCGCAGAGAAGGAAGAACAUGAAAAUGUGAGCAAUGAAGCCAACAGCAGCCCAUCAUUUGAUCCCACAUCCCACACUUUGUCUUCAAAAGAGAUCUAAAGAGUUCCUGCCCAGUCUCCACCCAACAGAAUCCUGCUGAGGCAUCGAUGGCCUUGCAGACCCCCUCCAGAGAGUAAGGUGAGGCCAGGUGGAUGCAGCCAGGGCCAGCUGCAAGAAAAGCCUCUCUGGGAGCUCCCCCAAAUGGGGAUCAGUCCACACAUCGACUUCCAGGUAAUCUGGAUCAGAACACUGUGCCGAUGUGUCUGAGACUCAGCUGCACCUGUCAGCAGGGUCUCCCAGGCUGGUAUGUUUCCCCACCAGAAUUGUGAAAUCUUCUGUCACCAUAUACAUUUGGAAGGUGACAGGAGCAUCUCCUCGGGCUUCAGCCCCAGAACGGAUGGACCUGGGGCAGCCAACAACACGCGCACUGGGCAGGACCCAGCAGUGGAAGUCAGGUGCAGAUGUGAGUGUAAGUGGUGGGGCCACUAGGCAGGCCUCUGGAAGCUUCUCCUGGAGGGAAGCACUCACCUGGCCUAUUAACCAGGACAAAUGAAAAAUGUGCCUCCCCACCCCUGCCAAAGCCACCUGCCCCUGUUUGGACGAUCACCUGUCUGGAGGCCAGCAGGCCCCGCCUGCGUGUUGGUAUCAGGGAAACCCAAGCCCUGGGCUGUCAGGGCCACGGUGCCACUGCCAGCCUCCUCUGCCCACUGGGAAUGCUCCAGUCGGGGCGGGGCCUCUAACCAGACUCAACAGACGGACAUACAGACUGUACGCUUUUGUGUGGGACUCCCGACAUUCAGAACCGUGUCUCAGAGAUUCAUCUGUUUCCUGGCACGAACCCUUCCUUUUACGUGGCUAGUGGUGUUCUACGAUGCGAACACUCCGGGAUUCCUUUGUCCACUUGGAUGUUUCUUAAUUUGAGGUUACAAUAAAGCUGCUAUGAGCAUUCUCAUACGUGC